CUGCUGCCUUCCGUAGGAGUCUGGACCGUGUCUCAGUUCCAGUGUGGCCGAUCACCCUCUCAGGUCGGCUACUGAUCGUCGCCUUGGUAGGCCGUUACCCUACCAACUAGCUAAUCAGACGCGAGCCCAUCCAUAAGCGAUAAAUCUUUGACCCCUCUGCCAUGUGGCAAUGUGGUCUUAUGCGGUAUUAGCAGCCGUUUCCAGCUGUUAUCCCCCGUCUUAUGGGCAGGUUGCUCACGCG
rnacentral:rRNA from 1 species